rnacentral:rRNA from 1 species
CCUACGGGGUGCAGCAGUGGGGAAUAUUGCACAAUGGGCGCAAGCCUGAUGCAGCCAUGCCGCGUGUAUGAAGAAGGCCUUCGGGUUGUAAAGUACUUUCAGCGGGGAGGAAGGUGUUGUGGUUAAUAACCUCACCGAUUGACGUUACCCGCAGAAGAAGCACCGGCUAACUCCGUGCCAGCAGCCGCGGUAAUACGGAGGGUGCAAGCGUUAAUCGGAAUUACUGGGCGUAAAGCGCACGCAGGCGGUCUGUCAAGUCGGGUGUGAAGUCCCCGGGCUCGACCUGGGAACUGCAUUCGAAACUGGCAGGCUAGAGUCUUGUAGAGGGGGGUAGAAUUCCAGGUGUAGCGGUGAAAUGCGUAGAGAUCUGGAGGAAUACCGGUGGCGAAGGCGGCCCCCUGGACAAAGACUGACGCUCAGGUGCGAAAGCGUGGGGAGCAAACAGGAUUAGAUACCCGGGUAGUC